rnacentral:lncRNA from 1 species
AGCAAUGUAAGGUCCGGUCUGAUGACACUACUACACUUUUAGCAGAUUAAGAUCUUGAGAUUAAUCUUGGCUGGAUUCCUGGCGUUCAUGGUGAGGUUGUUGAGGUUGUUAAUGCGGUAUAUAAAGGAGAUAUAGUUGAUGGACUAGGUUGCGCACUAAGUAUGCUGAAUUGGUGGCAAUCUCGAUCUGUCUCUACGGAUGUCUGGUAAGUGGCAU